CUCACACCGGGGAGUGGGGAACCGGGCUUCCCGCACCCCACACGCCCUGCAUGCCUGGGGCUCUCCCACAUGGGGCUUUCGUGAGCCAGGGAGCAAGGGCCUCUCCCCCUCUCCAGCCCAGCCAGGCUGCGCAGGCAGAAGGAAUCUCUCAACCUGCCCCUGCACGCGGGGAUUUUGUGUUCACUGUCCUGGCUCCUCUGGAAGUAGGACUGUCCCACCCUCAGACUCCUCGGUAGCCUCCACACCCUAACAAACGCCAGGAGGAAGAGGACCUGCAGCACGGUGGCCUAUUUGGUGCAUGCUCAGUGGGACAGCUUGGGCCCCCUCAAGCUGAGUCACAGGGGCAAGGUGUGUUUGCGCCACCCACGUCCCACCGGAGUCCGCGGUGGGGCUG
rnacentral:lncRNA from 1 species